UUUCAGUUGGGUGGAUGCCUGUACUCAAGCUUUUCUGUGCACACACAGAAGAAUUGCUCAGUUCAGCCCUGAGACGGCCACAGUUCAGAGGUGUUUCACAACUUGCCGGAGUCUGCUGAUCUCAGAGGAAUGUGUGGACAUCUUGCAAGGCUUUCUGCUGGUAAAGGCUGCCUAUGAGCCCACAGGUGCUCGGGCAUGGUUGGAAUCUGUAGGCACUCCAGGCUGCAGAUGGCUGAGAAAGAAGACCCAUCUGAGCUACUAAGGCAUCAUCCUUUAGGAAGAAGAGCCCACCUACCUAUCUAUGAAUUGGGAGGCACUGGAACUGGCACAAAUUAGGCGGUGGAACGAGUCACCCAGAAAGGUGGUGGAUGCCCCACCCCUGGAGACGCUCAAGGACAGGCUGGACAGGGCUCUGAGCAAUCUGAUCUAGCUGUAAGUGUCCCUGUUCAUUGCAGAGGAGUUGGACUAGAUGACAUUUCAGGUUCCCUUCCAACUCAAACAAUUCUGUGAUUCCAUGAAAUUCUUGAGAAAUGCUCGUGGCAUUGCACUGACACAAAGCCCUGGUGUUCCCCCUGUAAUUGGUGGCACUGCCUAAAAGAUGCCAGAACCCUGCUGAAGACAUCUUCAGUAAAGAACACCAUCACCUCCAGGACUGCUGAUGACAUUCAAGUCCAGUCCAGCCCUGCCCAGACUCAGAAGAGCUCUCCAGAAAAUGCCCCUCAUGAACUGCCGUCUUCUCUGUUCAUUUAAACUCAAUUUUACUUUAAAAAUGCUGCUUCUCUCCUUUCCUAUUUCUUGGCUAUGCAUUCGCAGGAUGGCACCUCUCACCUCACUCACUAUUAAUAUGCCACCCCUGCCAAGUCUUGCACAUGAUGCUAAAAUAGAAUGACAGCAGAAGCCAGAAAGAAGCAAUCAGGAAAGCCUAAAAGUCAGCUUGGCCACCUGGCAAAAAAAAGGAACAAACAUAUUCUUGCUUACAGUGCAUAUUCUAGGAUGGAACUCCACCACAUGUAAUCCAGUCACAGUAACCCAAGAUUUGUGCAUGCCUUGAGAGUUUUCUGAUAUGCUAAGAAGAAAUGAAUUAAGAUCUCCAAAAGCAUUGGUAGGAUUUCAUUGGCGUAACUGAACUGAGAACUUGAAAUUUUAUAGGAUUUAAUAAAUUUAUACGAUAGCCAAGUACCCCUAUAUCUGUAACAAACUGUACUCCUCUCUUAAUCAGGGCUCCUGGUGAGUUCAGGGCUCUCUUUCAUUACCCAAGCCUUGGCUUAUGACAAGUCAGACGCUAUUAAGGUAUCUUCAGAAGAGUACAUUUAUGGCACCACAAUCCUUCAAAUAUACACCUCCUAAUUCUGGAGAACAGUUGUUGUAAAGGGGAAUAUAGGAGCUACCUUUUCUUCCACUGUGAAUCAACUUUGCAAGCAACUGAUCCAGCAGAAAUUCCAUCGUGCUGCAUAAUAAAAGAGUGGCAACAAACAAAGAACGCACCUACAGAUGUAUGUGAGAGCUCGUAUCAAACUGACAGACACUAAAAUGGAAUAACAGAGAAACUGAGGAGAAGGGUUUAUUUAGCCUCCAAAUCUCUGUUAUUCCUACAAAGAUAACAUGUAAGAUUUAAAGUUUCUUUGUCUUUGCUGCGCUAGAGGCAAUGUAAGAAGCCAGCUGCCAUCUUUCAAAAAGUUGCUGCCUCUCCUAGAAAAAAAAAUGCUUCUGUAGGAAGAUUAGUGAUACACAGGCCUUCUGGGUCAUUCUAAAAGUCCUCUCCUCCAAACGCACACACGCGUUGUGUGCGCUGGGUCCAGCAGCUCUGCAGCUGCCCUAAGGACAAAGACCGUCAGCCUUUUGCUGUUGCUGUUCUGUAUGGGAUGGGUGCCAUCUCUCCACUUGCAAGGCCCUUGACAUUCUGGACAUCUCUUCCUAUGAAAUUAAAGGGUGUCCCCAGUGAGCUAUUAGGGUCAGUGUUUAGCCUGCUUACCUGAGAAAAGCAUCAAUGAAGGGAGGAUACAGCCAGGCCACCACAUUCCUCAUGAGCCACCCUCAAAGAUUUCCAAACAAGUCAAGUGAAUGAAAGAUGUUCCGUUGCUGUUUGCUGCGUGGAAUGCAAGCAGAGCUAUAAACAGAGACUGUUCAAGGGAAGAGAAUUGUCACUGCUUUUUGUUCUGUGCCUCUAAGUUUUAAACAUGACCUUUCAACCUGAGAGUCUUUUAAUGUAUCCUUGCUCUCCAUCAGACCAUUGCACACAAAUUCAUGCCUGAAAUACAUUUUAUGUGUUCCCAGUACUUUCAGAAAUUAUG
ensembl:lncRNA